ACUGCCCUCUCCAUGUAAAGCCGUGGCAAAGCUAAAAUAGAGUUUGGGUUCCUGCCACCUUCUUCUGCUACUCUGGCUUCCGCAGCAGCUGCUACCGAUUGGUGUGCCCUUUGGCGAUGGCCGUGCAUGUCUCUUCCCUGCCAGCUUCUGGGAUCCCUGAGGCCUGAGCUCCUGGCACUGAGCCGUGAGCGGAUGGGGAAACUGAGGCC